CCGCCUUCGGCGGGCCAAUGCGAAGGGGGAAAGUGUUUCCGGCAGCCUUGCUAGCGGUGGAACCAGGAAAGCGCAGGCGCAGCAAUUGCUGCUUACGUUAAUAUGUCAUGGAAAAUUGUGCCAGAAAAUUAUGGUUUGAACAUGGACAGUUUUCUCCUAUCUUCAGCUAUAUCCACAAGCACCACAUGAAAUGGCGAUCUGGCAGCUCUGUGUGUAUCAGUCAAGUUCCGCAAUGAGACCUGACAAUUAUGGUAAAAACCAAUAUAAAUACCCAGUGUUUGUUUUUCCUCUCCCUACAUAAUAACUAUGUAACCUCUUUUCCAAAAUAUGACAAUUAUAUUUCCCCCAAAUUAUCUUUUUUCCCUUGCAAAAGAGUUUCCUCAUCAGGUCUCCUGUAUUAGGUUAUUCAAAUUCUGCUUCUUUUAUUUCAAUUAUUUUACUUCGAACAAUGAAUAGUUUUGGGAAGACAGAUUUGCCUGUAAUGGCGUUGAAUGCUUUUGUACAGAACUGGUUUUUUAAAGCAAAGAAAGUUAACCCCGAUUUUAUAACUAUUCCUGGAAGCUGAACUUCAAUAUUGCAAGUGUUACAUGUUGUUAAAAAAAAAAAAAAAGUCUUUUAAAGAUAACAUUUAAAGCAGUAUUGCAAAUACUGUAAAUAUUUUCAUUGUAGAGAUCAAUAAUACCCUCUUAAGUAACAAAUAAAAACAUUUCUAAUGUCAAGUGAA